CCCGGGAGCAGGGGACCACCAGGUUGCCUAAAGAGGGGUGAACCCGCCCAGGUCAGGUCUAAAAGUAAUGAGGGCAGGGAACAUGAUGAGGG
rnacentral:miRNA from 1 species